rnacentral:sRNA from 1 species
UUGGUGCCAUGUGAUUGAUGGGCCUGUCAGGACACUCUUCUAUUACAGAAAGAGUGAGAUAAGAAGCAGCUAAUUGUCUGGGGUUCUUCCUUUCCCAUGGGGCCUAACAUAUUUACAGGUCAUAUUUUUGAUAACAAUACAUUUGUCUGGACACACACUUAAAAAACUAACCCAAAUAAACAUUAAUUCACCUUCAGUUUUGAAGUUGUUUAACAAGGGUAUUGUUUUCAAACAAUGAAUGAUAUCUGAUUAUUCUGGGAAAUAUGAGACUCUCCGUUUUUACUUAACAGAUCAGAACGGUGUUCCAAAUAACAAGGUGAGAAGAGCUUUUUAGCACUCAACACGAUUAUGCCUCCAAAAUAAGUGAUGACCUCAAGUGAACUUUCUCUGUGCUUAUUUCUAAUGGAUAUUAGCAGGUGUUUCUUCAUAUAUGAGGCCAUUUUAAAAUUAGUAUUCAUUAAAUGUGGUAUUUCCGAAAAAAUAAUAUUCCACUAUUCUGUCUAGAGCUCAACAACAAAACAAAACAAACCUUGGAAGCUUUCCGGGUACUGCAUACUUUUAAUAGCACAGAAGAGAAAUGUCGAUGUGUCAGUUCAUUCAAAGUUCCUGAGAGACAAUUAGAAAAGAGGAAAGGAUUUCACUGUUCAGAGAAACAAUUUAUAUGCCCACCUUCAGUAAGGCAUAACAAUAACAAAGUUUUCUCAAGGGGCUGAGGUUGUGAUGGACUCCUUCAUGACUGCCAAGGCAGUCAAUACAGAAUUAUGAACUGAUGCCUCUUAUUUUCCCAGUAUCCCACAGGUAAGCAUGAGGAUUUAUGUCUUUAUAGGACUUUUCUGGACAUGUGAACCUUCCCAUACAUGUGUGUGCCUUCUAGAUUUC